rnacentral:rRNA from 1 species
CGUAAACAAAGGGAAGCGAGCCUGUGAAGGGGAGCAAAUCCCAAAAAUAACGUCCCAGUUCGGAUUGUAGUCUGCAACCCGACUACAUGAAGCUGGAAUCGCUAGUAAUCGCGGAUCAGAAUGCCGCGGUGAAUACGUUCCCGGGUCUUGUACACACCGCCCGUCACACCAUGGGAGUCGGAAAUGCCCGAAGUCUGUGACCUAACCGUAAGGAAGGAGCAGCCGAAGGCAGGUCGGAUGACUGGGGUGAAGUCGUAACAAGGUACC